rfam:Pseudocercospora fijiensis CIRAD86 unplaced genomic scaffold MYCFIscaffold_1, whole genome shotgun sequence.
GGUCGAUUAGCUCAGUUGGUUAGAGCGUGGUGCUAAUACCUCUGGUAUUGAAACGCCAAGGUCGCGGGUUCGACCCCCUCAUUGACCA